AUUGUACCUGUGUACCUGGUUAUGAAGGCAAGAACUGUCAGAACGUGACCGUACCAUCUACCGAUACUCCAGCUUCUAACACUCCAACGGCAUCGAUGUCUUCACCAUCAUCAACCCCCUCAUCGACAGAACCUGUGACCGUACUAUCUACCGGUACUUCAGCUUCUAACCCUCCAACGGAAUCGACGUCUUCACCAUCAAUAACCCCCUUACCAACAGAACCUG